rnacentral:rRNA from 1 species
AGCGGUAUUGCGGCUUGUCUACACAUGCAAGUCGAACGAGAAAGUGGAGCAAUCCAUGAGUAAAGGGCGACGGGUGAGGGCACGUGACUAACCUACCUUCGAGUGGGGGAUCACCUCGGGAAACCGGGGCUAAUACCGCAUAACAUCUUUGGAGUGGAAAUUCUGGAGAUCAAAGGAGCAAUUCGCUGGAAGAGGGGGUCGCGGCUGAUUUUUUUAUUUGGUUUGGUUACGGCCCCCAUGGCUUAAAUAAAAAGCCGGUUUUUUUUUUUUUUUUGAACCUGGAAUGA